rnacentral:rRNA from 1 species
UACGUAGGGGGCAAGCGUUGUCCGGAUUUAUUGGGCGUAAAGAGCGUGUAGGCGGUUAGGUAGGUCCGUUGUGAAAACUCGAGGCUCAACCUCGAGACGCCGAUGGAAACCGUAUGGCUAGAGUCCGGAAGAGGAGAGUGGAAUUCCCGGUGUAGCGGUGAAAUGCGCAGAUAUCGGGAAGAACACCCGUGGCGAAGGCGGCUCUCUGGGACGGUACUGACGCUGAGACGCGAAAGCGUGGGGGAGCGAACAGG